rnacentral:rRNA from 1 species
GGGGAAUCUUAGACAAUGGGGGAAACCCUGAUCUAGCCAUGCCGCGUGAUCGAUGAAGGCCUUAGGGUUGUAAAGAUCUUUCAGUGGGGAAGACAAUGACUGUACCCACAGAAAAAGCCCCGGCUAACUCCGUGCCAGCAGCCGCGGUAAUACGGAGGGGGCUAGCGUUGUUCGGAAUUACUGGGCGUAAAGCGCACGUAGGCGGAUCAGAAAGUCAGAGGUGAAAUCCCAGGGCUCAACCUUGGAACUGCCUUUGAAACUCCUGAUCUUGAGGUCGAGAGAGGUGAGUGGAAUUCCGAGUGUAGAGGUGAAAUUCGUAGAUAUUCGGAGGAACACCAGUGGCGAAGGCGGCUCACUGGCUCGAGACUGACGCUGAGGUGCGAAAGCGUGGGGAGCAAAC